rnacentral:rRNA from 1 species
UACCCGCAGCACAAGUGGUGGUCAUUAUUAUUGGGCCUAAAGCGUCCGUAGCUGGCCUGUUAGAUGCCUGGGUAAAUCGAUGCGCUCAACGCAUCGAACUCCGGGUAGACCGGCAGGCUUGGGACCGGGAGAGGCGUGAGCUACUCGGGGGGUAGGGGUAAAACCCUGUAAUCCUCCGGGGAGGACCAGUGGCGAAGGCGUCACGCUAGAACGGCUCCGACAGUGAGGGACGAAGCCCUGGGGCGCAAACCGG